CUGGAUUUAUCCAUCAGUCUCUGACCUCCUUCUGACUACAAUCAACACCUGCAGACUCAGGACAGCUCAUACUCAGCAGUGAUUUGCUUGCUGGCGCCAUUGAGAGCAGUGCCGCGGAGGAGAGCUGAGGCAGGACAACAUAAAAACCCAGUAUGUAAGUGGGAGUGAGGGGGCAUGAUGGAGGAUAAAAGGGGCAUGAUG